AGGGUGCAAGCGUUACUCGGAAUUACUGGGCGUAAAGCGUGCGUAGGUGGUUCGUUAAGUCUGAUGUGAAAGCCCUGGGCUCAACCUGGGAAUGGCAUUGGAAACUGGCGACCUAGAGUGCGGUAGAGGGUAGUGGAAUUCCCGGUGUAGCAGUGAAAUGCGUAGAGAUCGGGAGGAACAUCUGUGGCGAAGGCGACUGCCUGGACCAGCACUGACACUGAGGCACGAAAGCGUGGGGAGCAAACAGG
rnacentral:rRNA from 1 species